AAAUGAAUUGACGGGGACCCGCACAAGCAGCGGAGCAUGUGGUUUAAUUCGAAGCAACGCGAAGAACCUUACCAGGGCUUGACAUGUCCUUGACCGUUCUAGAGAUAGAACUUUACCUUCGGGUACAAGGAACACAGGUGGUGCAUGGUUGUCGUCAGCUCGUGUCGUGAGAUGUUGGGUUAAGUCCCGCAACGAGCGCAACCCUUGCCUUUAGUUGCCAACAGUUAGGCUGUGCACUCUAAAGGGACUGCCGAUGACAAAUCGGAGGAAGGUGGGGAUGACGUCAAAUCAUCAUGCCCUUUAUGUCCUGGGCUACACACGUGCUACAAUGGUCGGUACAACGGGAAGCCACCUAGCGAUAGGGAGCCAAUCCCUUAAAGCCGAUCCCAGUUCGGAUUGCAGGCUGCAACUCGCCUGCAUGAAGCCGGAGUUGCUAGUAAUCGUGGAUCAGAAUGCCACGGUGAAUGCGUUCCCGGGUCUUGCACACACCGCCCGU
rnacentral:rRNA from 1 species